rnacentral:rRNA from 1 species
UACGUAGGCAGCAAGCGUUGUUCGGAGUUACUGGGCGUAAAGAGUGCGUAGGCGGUUUCGUAAGUUUGGUGUGAAAUCUCCCGGCUUAACUGGGAGGGUGCGCCGAAAACUGCGGGGCUGGAGUGUGGGAGAGGUAAGCGGAAUUCCGGGUGUAGCGGUGAAAUGCGUAGAUAUCAGGAGGAACACCGGCGGUGUAGACGGCUUACUGGACCAUGACUGACGCUGAGGCACGAAAGCGUGGGGAGCAAACAGG